rnacentral:tRNA from 1 species
GUCUCCUGUAGCUCAGUGGUAAAUAAAGGAGCGUCCGACCGGUGUGCGGAAGGUCAUAGGUUCGACUCCUGUCGCAGGCU